rnacentral:rRNA from 1 species
ACAGCAGCAGCCGCGGUAAUACAGAGGGUGCGAGCGUUAAUCGGAUUUACUGGGCGUAAAGCGUGCGUAGGCGGCUUCUUAAGUCGGAUGUGAAAUCCCUGAGCUUAACUUAGGAAUUGCAUUCGAUACUGGGAAGCUAGAGUAUGGGAGAGGAUGGUAGAAUUCCAGGUGUAGCGGUGAAAUGCGUAGAGAUCGGAAGGAACAUCUGUGGCGAAGGCGACUAUCUGGGCCAACACUGACACUGAGGCACGAAAGCGUGGGGAGCAAACAGGAUUAGAUACCCGCGUAGUCCCUGUCUCUUAUAC